UACGUAGGGGGCUAGCGUUGUCCGGAUUUAUUGGGCGUAAAGAGCGUGUAGGCGGCCAUGUAGGUCCGGUGUGAAAACUCAAGGCUUAACCUCGAGAUGUCAUCGGAAACCAUUUGGCUAGAGUCCGGAAGAGGAGAGUGGAAUUCCUGGUGUAGCGGUGAAAUGCGCAGAUAUCAGGAAGAACACCAAUGGCGAAAGCAGCUCUCUGGGACGGUACUGACGCUGAGACGCGAAAGCGUGGGGAGCGAACAGG
rnacentral:rRNA from 1 species